UACGUAGGGUGCGAGCGUUGUCCGGAAUUACUGGGCGUAAAGAGCUCGUAGGUGGUUUGUCGCGUUGUUCGUGAAAACUCACAGCUUAACUGUGGGCGUGCGGGCGAUACGGGCAGACUGGAGUACUGCAGGGGAGACUGGAAUUCCUGGUGUAGCGGUGGAAUGCGCGGAUAUCAGGAGGAACACCGGUGGCGAAGGCGGGUCUCUGGGCAAUUCCUGACGCUGAGGCGCGAAAGCGUGGGGAGCAAACGGG
rnacentral:rRNA from 1 species